rnacentral:rRNA from 1 species
ACAGAGGAUGCAAGCGUUAUCCGGAAUGAUUGGGCGUAAAGCGUCUGUGGGUGGUUUAUUAAGUCUACUGUUAAAGAUCAGGGCUUAACCCUGAGCAGGCAAUAGAAACUAAUAAGCUAGAGUACGGUAGGGGCAGAGGGAAUUCCCGGUGUAGCGGUGAAAUGCGUAGAGAUCGGGAAGAACACCAACGGCGAAAGCACUCUGCUGGGCCGAAACUGACACUGAGAGACGAAAGCUAGGGGAGCAAAUGGGA